AUUAUUCAGUGGUUUCUCAGGGUGAGUCUUAUACAUUGCACUCCAGGUGUGCUGACCCCUGCAAUUUCCACAAAUGUGGGAAACUCCAUUUGUGGGAGUGGAGGACUGCAUUUGCAUUCUCUCC
rnacentral:snRNA from 1 species